UCCAAACACGACCUAAAAGACUCCCUCACGACCUCACGACUAACUGUAAAAAACACAACUACACCCAACUCCCCGAACUCCCUUGAGGUUAAUCCAAUUUCUUCUCUCGGCAAGAUGAAUCGAGAAGAUCAAAAGAAACCCAAUGUUUCCGCAGAAAUCGAAAACUCUACCUCAAAAAUCAAAACCCAUGUAUCAGAAAUCAAUGGCAAACAUUGUAACCCAAGAUCUACUUGCUUUUCUCCUGAAAUCAUCAAGUAAGGUGUUCCCUUUUUUAUUUUUCCCUUCAAGAGAACUCCUCAAUCGGGUAGUAGAUCUCUUCUCCUCCUAAUUAUCUCAUGAGAAUAUUUACCAAUUUGCAAAAAAAGGGUUUAACCCACCGGAAAUUUUAUCAAUAAAAUACUGAGCAAAGAAAUGGGCAAGAGCCGGGAGUGGAUUUUUUAUGGUGGAGGAAUGGGUAAUUGCAAAUGGCUAAUGGUACUCUAGUUUGACGUGAAUGGGUAUCAUUUGGAUUUAGGAAAAUAGGCAACCUGGGUGAGAUCUUCGCUCCCAAAUUCCUGCUCAAGUUUAGCCCUGAAGAUGUUCUUCGGCAAGUAACAUAACUCUUUUGAAAAUUUGCUAGUAUUAAUAUGCAUAUACAGUAAUUUCUUCUUGCACGGUAUGUUUAUUAUGGGAAAUUAUUGAUAAUUUCUUGCACAUGUCCUGUAUUGAAAGUUCAAGCAUCAAGUAUUAUUGGUUAUACAAGUCUUUCCUUAUGGCUACUUGUAUCUACUAAUUAGAUCCCUUUGGUAGUUAUUAUGGAGUGAUUAGUCUCCACAUAAAGUUAAUGGGCGUUGUUCCUAAACUUCAGUGAUUUCCAACUAAACAUAUUUCAUCUUUUCACGAUUCUAGUAAUUUUUUAAGUCGUGACCGUUUAUAAGUUAUUUCUAAAGUUGAAAUGCUAUAUGUGGCAAGUCAUUGAAACUUUUUUGUUGACUUAUUUUAUUCGGGCCUGCAAUAGAUUGUAUACACUAAACUACUUGUGGUACAAAGGUUUCGUUACUUGAAAAAAGAAAACCGUAACUUUCAAAAAUUGAAGAUGACAUGAGAAAAUUUCAUUUCUCUUCUCUUCCAAGAGGAGAGUCCGUAUAGAAAAUAUUUUUGACAACUGGUUCUUUUAUCUUAAUUAACAUUAAUUUUUUUAUAUGGAAAGCAGGUAGUCUUUCGUUUUUACAUAUUUACUCUUGUUUGAUCAGAGAUGAAUUCAAAGUAAUUUCAUAUUAGUAACUGAUGAUAUCAUUGCCAAUGUCUGUAUUUCAACCUUUUUUUUUCCUUUUUUAGAGAAAGAAUAUUUAAUACUUUGAGUCUUAAAUCAUCAGUGUUUGCAAUAAGUUUUGAAUCAUCAAUUUUUUUUGAUAUCUCUACAUGUACAACACAACUAUUAUGGUUACUGGACACGUCGAGCUGUUUCUAACCAAGGGAUCUUUAAGUGGAAGCUGAGACUACAAAGAGAUUGAGUUACUGAAUUUCGAUCUCCUGGUAGGUUCUAGCGGAAUCAUACAGUUUGGAUGUGAAGACUAUGAAAUGAGAUACAGUAACAAGAUGCGCUUGGGUGUUUGUUUUAUUCUUGUCCUAACAAUUUCAAAUAUGUCGCCGAGGUAAUCUUUGUUGUCGAUGCCCUUGAAAGGUACACCCAGCUUUCCAGCCAUCCUGUUCACAACAUUAACAAACCUGGCAUUUUGUUCGUUGGUAUACAUCCAUCCAAGGAUGGCUCUCUUGCUCGUUGCACUCUCAUUCACCACGGACUUCUGGAGUGUAAUAAAGGAUUGGUUAUUGUUAUCAGGAAAGGCUUGAUGCUUGCUGAGAUAAUAAACUAUUUGGCACUAAUCUAGCUAACUCUUUGUUAAUCUUCACUGGAUUUAUGACUUGCUUUGUGCUUUCAGUUUUCUUAAAAUGCAAUAGCAAGCUCAUUGACCUAUCAGUUUCUGACUUAAAACCAAGUGCAGUAACUUCAUAUUUCAAGUGUUGCAGAUUCUUCUUCUUCAAAGACACCACCUGACAAGGACCGGGCUAUGGAGAAGCAUUCUGGUUAUGUGAAUCGUCAAUCAUGUUUCCUGGAAGGAGCAUUUGAAGACCCUUGUGAAGAUGAUGUGUUGCGCGAGAGAAAUAUGAGAGCCUUUGUCGAUUGAAGAGCAAACUAAGACAUUGACUAUGCUAGCAAUGUUGACAAUGAAGAUGCCACUGAAAUGUUCCAGCAAGCUAAUGUUGAACUAAAAAGGGAAGCACAAGCCAAGAGGAAUGUUGAACAAAAGAGGGCUCGUCCCAGUGGUGGUGGUAGUGGUCGUGGAAAGGCUAAACGGGUCCGUGGUGGUGGUAGUGAAUGAAGACAACUAGUUUAUUUUUUUAUGUGUUGGACAAAUGUUAAAGUUAAUGGUUGGACAAAUACUUUUUUAAGGAUUAUGGGACAGAUGUUUUCUGAUUUUGGACAAAUGUUGGAUUUCUAGUUGUUGAAUGAACGGUUUGUUUAGCGA